AUUGAACGCUGGCGGCAGGCCUAACACAUGCAAGUCGAACGAGUGGCGGACGGGUGAGUAAUGUCUGGGAAACUGCCUAAUGGCGGGGGAUAACUACUGGAAACGGUAGCUAAUACCGCAUACCAUCGGAUGUGCCCAGAUGGGAUUAGCUAGUAGGUGGGGUAAAGGCUCACCUAGGCGACGAUCCCUAGCUGGUCUGAGAGGAUGACCAGCCAAAAUGGAACUGAGAAACGGGCCAGACUCCUACGGGAGGCAGCAGGGGGGAAUAUUGCACAAUGGGGGCAAGCCUGAUGCAGCCAUGCCGCGUGGAUGAAGAAGGCCUUCGGGUUGUAAAGGACUUUCAGCGGGGAAGCGUUACCCGCAGAAGAAGGACCGGCUAACUCCGUGCCAGCAGCCGCGGUAAUAC
rnacentral:rRNA from 1 species